UAAGCUCAGAAGAAAAACCAGUGGCUGUGGUUUGAGAGAGAGAAAGAAAGGGAGGGAAAGAAGAGGGUGUGUGUGUGUAAUGGUUACAAAUGAGUUCAAUAUCCCAAAGUGUAUUGAUGGCACUUGCUGUUACAGUGAACAAAUUUGCUUCAUCAAAUGUUCAUGCAGUUCAAAGAAAAGAAGCUAAAAGAUCCUCUGCAACAUCUCCUGCCUUUUCAAGAAGAGGAAUCCUCUCAUCUACUUUGGUUGCUGCUUAUCCUGUCACCACUGACUCUAAAACUGAGCUUCUUAACAGUAUGUGCGUCUACUAUAUAUAUUCUUUGUUCUUCAUUUUAUCUUUUCUCUACUGGUCACAUUGGAGUUUGAAUUCAUAACCUCAUAAUCUUGAAAAUGAAUCAAUAUUAUGCUUCUGCUAUUUAUUUUUUCUUGCUUUCACCAUGUGUCUUUAUUGGGUUCUAUAAGAGUUCAAACUUAUCAGACCUUCUUUCAAGUGUUGGAUGAUUGAAGUUUUCUUUAAACUUGCCAGAAUAUUUAAAGAAAUCAGAAGAAAACAAGGCCAAAAAUGACAAGGAGGUAAAAGUUUAGUGAUUGCUGCUAAAUUUCUUGUAUUUCAUUUGCUUGAUAUGUCCCUUUGAAUAUAUGUUUUGUUUGUCAAAGAGACUGGAUAGCUAUUACAAGCGCAACUACAAGGAUUACUUUGACUUUGUAGAAGGAUCUUUAAGAGCAAAGAAAGAGCAAGACCUAACUGAAUCAGAGAAGGGCAUUCUUGGUUGGCUAAAGCGUAACAAAUAACAAAUAUAUAUGUAUAAAUCUUUUGUACAAAAGCUUUUGGAAUUUUGGUCUUUUUUAAGCCGCUUCCCUCUUUCUAUUAAAUAAAAACUGCACUAAAUGCACUAUAAAGUUGUUGUGUUUUUUAUGUUCCAUGUUAGUUUGAAAUAAAAUGUUUG
rnacentral:misc_RNA from 1 species